rnacentral:rRNA from 1 species
GAUCAUGCUCAGGACGAACGCUGGCGGCGUGCUUAACACAUGCAAGUCGAACGAGAAUCUGCUGAAAGAGUCUUCGGACAAUGGAUGUAGAGGAAAGUGGCGGACGGGUGAGUAACGCGUGAGGAACCUGCCUUGAAGAGGGGGACAACAGUUGGAAACGACUGCUAAUACCGCAUGAUGCAUAAGGGUCGCAUGAUUCUUAUGCCAAAGAUUUAUCGCUUCAAGAUGG